UACGGGGGGAGCAAGCGUUGUUCGGAUUUACUGGGCGUAAAGGGCGCGUAGGCGGAUGUGUCAGUCAGGGGUGAAAUCCCGGAGCUCAACUUCGGAACUGCCUUUGAUACAGCACGUCUUGAGUCCGAUAGAGGUGGGUGGAAUUCCUAGUGUAGAGGUGAAAUUCGUAGAUAUUAGGAAGAACACCGGUGGCGAAGGCGGCCCACUGGAUCGGUACUGACGCUGAGGUGCGAAAGCGUGGGGAGCAAACAGG
rnacentral:rRNA from 1 species